rnacentral:tRNA from 1 species
GGCAAGGUGGCUCAGUGGUAGAGUGCUUGCCUUGCAUGCAUGAGGCCCUGGGUUCAAUUCCUCACUACCA